CGGAGGGGAUCCACCCGUUCCCAUCCCGAACACGGCCGUUAAGCCCUCCAGGGCCGAUGAUACU
rnacentral:rRNA from 3 species